rnacentral:hammerhead_ribozyme from 1 species
GCACUGCUGAGGAGUCCAAUACUAGGAUGAAACGGCCGUCUAGUGC